UCGAGAGAGAGAGCAGGGGAUAAACCAAAACCCUAACAACAUAAAUCCAUCAAAUCGAAAGGGGAAUUGAAGGCUAAUUCAAUGCAUGAACCUGGAAUGUUGAUUACCUAAGUGUUUCUAACAUCAAGAACAAAGAAAGACGAAGGAACAAGUCAAUCCAAGGCGCUAGAAACGCAAGAUCACGGUAAAUAGUCCUUGGAGCAAAUCUUGAACCGGAGGAACGAACACACAUCGCGCCAUUUAAUUGCUUCCGCUCGUCAAGUUCUUUAAAGGGUGAUAGUGUCUUUGGUUAAUGGAUGUUUUUUUUAUCAUGUAAUGGU